rnacentral:lncRNA from 1 species
AUUAUAUAUUCCUGUUGCAACGCACGGGCAUUCAGCUAGUAAUUUUAGAAGUUUUUGGAGAUGCUGUGUAAGUUGAUUCAUAUUGGACCAAGAGACUGCCCAAGACAGUGAACACAACAAUUCUUCCUUGCCGAUUGAACCCUGGUACGGUAAGUAAUUUACAUCAUGGUACAAACUGGAACCAGUGCGCGCUCACGUGCAUCCGAACACCUAGAUAUCCGCAGCGGUGGCCGGUGGGCGGUGGCGCCUCCACCCCCUCACUUGCCGGGCACAAAGUUGGUGGCAUAGGCCCAUGCGUUGUUGUUGACGGGGUCGGCGAGGUGGUCGGCGAGGUUCUCGAGCGGGCCCUUGCCGGUGACGAUGGCCUGGACGAAGAACCCGAACAUGGAGAACAUGGCGAGGCGGCCGUUCUUGAGCUCCUUCACCUUGAGCUCCGCGAAGGCCUCAGGGUCGUCGGCGAGGCCGAGCGGGUCGAAGCUGCCGCCGGGGUAGAGCGGGUCGACGACCUCUCCGAGCGGGCCGCCGGCGACGCGGUACCCCUCGAUGGCGCCCAUGAGCACGACCUGGCAGGCCCAGAUGGCGAGGAUGCUCUGCGCGUGGAUCAGGCUCGGGUUGCCGAGGUAGUCCAGCCCACCCUCGCUGAAGAUCUGCGACCCGGCCUUGAACCACACGGCCUCGCCGAACUUGACGCCGUUGCGGGCGAGCAGCUCCGGGAACACGCAGCCCAACGCGCCCAGCAUGGCCCAGCGGGAGUGGAUGACCUCCAGCUCCCGGUUCUUGGCGAACGUCUCCGGGUCCGCCGACAGCCCCGCGGUGUCCCAGCCGUAGUCGCCCGGGAACUCGCCCGUCAGGUAGCUCGGGGGCGCGCCGGACAGCGGGCCCAGGUAGAGCACGC